UUCUUAUCGAGAGAGACGGAGGGAUAUGGCCCUGUGAAGUCUCAGCAACCUUCAGCCCAGGCUGAAAAGGUGCUAAAUCCAACUGCUUAGCAGGAAGAUAAGAG
rnacentral:ncRNA from 2 species